rnacentral:misc_RNA from 1 species
CAGUGUUCCUGCCCUCCGGGGUAGACCUCCCACCCUUUGUUUACCAUACCAUUGUUGCUUUGGCAGGCCGUCUGGACCUGUGCCAGACUACCGGCUCAUGCUGGUAAGUGCCUGCCAGAGACCCCAAAACUCUGUAAUUUAAUGUCGUCUGAUUACUAUAUAAUAGUUA